rnacentral:rRNA from 1 species
UACGUAGGGGGCUAGCGUUGUCCGGAUUUAUUGGGCGUAAAGAGCGUGUAGGCGGCCAGGUAGGUCUGGUGUGAAAACUCGAGGCUUAACCUCGAGAUGUCAUCGGAAACCAUUUGGCUAGAGUCCGGAAGAGGAGAGUGGAAUUCCUGGUGUAGCGGUGAAAUGCGCAGAUAUCAGGAAGAACACCCGUGGCGAAAGCGGCUCUCUGGAACGGUACUGACGCUGAGACGCGAAAGCGUGGGGAGCGAACAGG